GUCCAGGAGCAGGAGGGGAUAUCUUUUUCUUUCUAUCUGAUUAGAACAGAAAUGGCAACCAAAGCGAGUCCUCCAAAUCUCCACAAAUCCGUGGCCAUUUCCAAAGGAUACAACUUCGCUUCUACAUGGGAACAGAAUGCUCCUCUGUCGGACCAACAGCAUGCAGCAAUCGUCGCACUAUCUCACGCCGUUGCUGAGCAACCAUAUCCUACCAAUUUGGCCCAAGAUCAUAUAUCUAGGCAGGACAAUGGCGGCCUGGCUGUUUCCACUAAGGAUAGCGCUUUCGGAGAUUCUCAAGCCAUAGAAGCAGUUUUAGUUAAUACAAAUCAGUUCUACAAAUGGUUUACAGAUCUUGAAUCAGCCCUGAAAUCAGAGGCAGAAGAGAAGUAUCAGCACUAUGUCAAUACUUUGACAGAACGCAUACAGACAUGUGAUGAUAUACUUCAUGAAGUGGAUGAAACUCUGGAUUUGUUUAAUGAACUUCAGCUGCAACACCAAGCAGUAGCAACAAAGACUAAGACUCUUCAUGAUGCCUGUGAUCGACUGUUAGUAGAGAAGCAAAGACUGAUUGAGUUUGCAGAAGCUCUUCGCAGUAAGCUGCACUACUUUGAUGAAUUGGAGAAUGUAAGAUUGCUACAAAUUUUUAUUCUGCAAAAGUGAAUGUUGGAAGUGAGAACUUUCUUCCGCUGCUCAAACGGCUUGAUGAGUGCAUAUCAUAUGUUGAAAGCAAUCCACAAUAUGCAGAAUCUAGUAUUUAUUUGCUUAAAUUUCGGCAACUCCAGUCUCGAGCCCUUGGUAUGAUUCGUUCUCAUGUACUUUCUGUUCUGAAAGGUGCUUCUUCUCAGGUCCAGGCAGCAAUCCGGAGCACUGGUGGCAACAAGACAUCCGUUUCUGAGGGUGUAGAGGCAUCUGUUAUCUAUGUCCGAUUCAAGGCAGCUGCAAAUGAGCUCAAGCCCAUACUGGAGGAAAUCGAAAGCAGAUCAUCUAGAAAAGAAUAUGCUCAAGUCCUUGCGGAAUGCCACAAAUUGUAUUGUGAACAGCGGCUUUCUUUGGUAAAAGGCAUAGUACUUCAACGAGUAUCUGAAUUUGCCAAGAAAGAGGCCUUGCCAUCAUUGACUAGAUCUGGAUGUGCAUAUCUAAUGCAGGUUUGUCAACUUGAGCACCAACUCUUUGAUCACUUUUUCCCAUCUUCUUCAGAGGAUAUUUCUGGUUUGGCUCCAUUGCUUGAUCCUUUGUCUACUUUCUUGUAUGAUACACUGCGCCCAAAACUUAUUCAUGAAACAAAUAUUGAUCUUCUUUGUGAGCUUGUUGAUAUACUUAAAGUUGAAGUCUUGGGAGAACAGCUUAGCAGACGGAGUGAGUCAUUGGCUGGGCUACGUCCUACAUUGGAAAGAAUUUUGGCAGACAUUCAUGAACGGCUGACUUUCCGAGCUCGAACACAUAUUCGUGAUGAGGUGUGCUUUUUGCCCUGAAAAAGUGACUCUUAUUGAUUCUUUAAUAACUGUGUAUGCCUGCUGAGUGAGUAUGGAAAUUUCCUUUUUCUUUUUGGAAGUAAUUUCACAUGAUUACACAUGGAAAGUUAUUCUUCUACAUCUAAGCAAAAGAUAAUCCACUCAUAAUUUGACCAUGGCUAGAGUUGUCUACCAAAGUUUAUAAAUACAUUUUACUUACAACUACCUUGCUCUUUGGAAUUAGGAUGUCAUGUUCUUAUACAAUUUUCUUGGGAAUUGGAUUUGUCACUUCAAUAUUGAUAGGUGGAGUGUGUGAUUAAACUUUACUCUUCUGAAAUAUUUGCUCCUGACUUGAUACUAGAAUACUGAGAACACGUGAAUGAUAAAGUGGUAAGCAUCAAUUUUUUAGUGUACUUGUGAGAAUUGCAUAGUCAUACCCAAUUUCAAGUGAAUUGCAUUUUCCAUGAAGUAUCUCUAUUUUUAGUGAAAGUCAGAGAGGUUUAGACGGGCUGCCAUAGUUUGAGGCGGAAAUCAAUAAUCUCAAUUGAUCGAGUACCAAAGAAUUCAAUUAGAAGGAGACAUAUUUUAGUUGUUUCUCCUGAUUGAUCUCCUUUUUAUUUUUGAAAUUUUAUCUUGUUUUUCUUUUGCAGAUAGCUAAUUAUAUUCCUUCUAAUGAAGACCUGGAUUACCCUGCAAAGCUUGAUCAAUCUGUUGAGAAGAAACCAGAAACUACUUCUGUAAAGCAUCACUCACUGCUAUUGUAUUCUCUAACUCAGUUUAUCUAUGUGUGACAAGCAUGCUAAAAUGUCCACAAAACAUAUUUUAGAAGUAUGUCUCUACUCUGGCUAAUGGGUCUUCUCUGGGAUCUGUGAUAUGUCUCUACUCUGGCUAAUGGGUCUUCUCUGGGAUCUGUGAUCUUGUUGCUUCCUGGUUGCAUGUACUUGGCCCAACAUGGGCCUUUCUCUAGGUCGGAGGUUCUUCUAAUUCCCAAACAUAGGACAUCAGAACCUGACUGAACAAUCUAACCAUCCAUUUUUGGUCAUUUUAAUAUUUAAUACCUUCAGUUAAAUUGAAACAUGCUUUCAAUGUGAUGUGCCAAGAUGGAUACCUAUCUGAAAUAGUCAUGCAACCCUGCAACAAAAAGAUUUAAUCAGCAUGGUAGUUUUUUGUUGGCAUGUUAGUUUGAUUCACACCAGUAGGCAUGUCUAUUCAUAAACACUUCUGUCAGAUAUGAGGCAUAAUUUGCAGUAUCAAUGAAACAAAGAUGAAUUAUACCUAACUGGUGUUUAAUGGUUAUUCCCAGCUUGUGGCACUUGAUCAUUUUUUGUUUGCAUUGUAAGUGUGAAAAUUGUUUUCUUUUGUUUUCAUCAUUAUUAUUUGUCUUAGUUUUCUCUCAUUCUGCAGGUUGAAGAAACUGCCAAUGUAUUUAGAACUUGGUACCCACCCUUGGAGAAAACUCUAUCAUGCCUUUCGAAGUUGUACCGUUGUCUAGAACCAUCUGUUUUCACUGGUUUAGCACAGGUGUUUGGAUCCUUGGAUAAUCACUCUUUCUCAUUUUUGUUUUAUAAAUUUUUACCAAUUAUAUUGCUCUUUUAUGCUUAUAUUGCUCUUUUAUGCUUGUGUUAUCAACCAGUUGACUAAUUCUUUUCCUGUGUUUCUAUUUCUAUCAGGAAGCAGUAGAAGUUUGCUCCCUUUCUAUCCAAAAAGCAAGCAAACUCAUUGCAAAGAGAACAACGGCAAUGGAUGGGCAGCUCUUCCUUAUCAAACAUCUUCUAAUCUUAAGGGAGCAGAUUGCUCCAUUUGAUAUAGAAUUUUCAGUCACAUACAAGGAACUUGACUUCUCCCAUUUGUUGGAGCACUUAAGACGGAUACUUAGAGGUCAGGCUUCUCUGUUUGACUGGUCGAGAUCAACUUCACUAGCAAGGACUUUAUCUCCCCGAGUUCUAGAAAGUCAAGUAGAUGCCAAGAAGGAACUGGAGAAAAGCCUAAAAGCAACUUGUGAGGAGUUCAUCAUGUCGGUCACUAAGCUGGUUGUGGAUCCGAUGCUUUCAUUUGUUACCAAGGUUACUGCUGUAAAAGUUGCACUGUCUUCUGGUAAUCAGAAUCAGAAAGUAGACUCAAUUGUGGCCAAACCACUUAAGGAUCAAGCUUUUGCUACUCCAGAUAAGGUGGCCGAACUUGUUCAGAAGGUAAAUGCAGCUAUUCAGCAAGAAUUGCCCAUGGUGAUGGCAAAGAUGAAACUUUAUCUGCAGAACACAUCAACAAGAACAAUACUUUUUAAACCGAUAAAAACAAAUAUUGUGGAAGCACAUGUUCAGGUACAAUCCCUUGUAAAAGUCGAGUACUCUCCUGAAGAACAAAGCGUCAUUAAUAUGGUGUCCAUGCAAGAGCUGCAAGCACAACUUGACAAUCUCCUUUAGGAUGCCUACUCAAUUUUUUCUUAAAGAUCUUGAUCACAUGUAGAGCAGUUUUGGUUUGUCAGAAGGAAUUGAAAUCUUCAUACUGGUUCAUUAAAAGCUGCAGAGUUGAAAUUUAAAUAUGAUAUGCAUACAUUUGUACCUUUAAAUAAUGUUGAGGGAAUAUAAUGAACCAAUCAUUAGUCGAGGACUAAUAAGAAAAGAGCGAAUCGUAUUCAUUAUUUGAGAGUCGUAUCUUGUAACUCGAUUAUGAAUUUUAAAAUUUCAUGGUUCACAUCGCAUUCUUAAUCAUCAACAGUUCUCGAUUAUGCUUAAUGCCGGACUGAUG
rnacentral:misc_RNA from 1 species